rnacentral:rRNA from 1 species
GACAGAGGUGCCAAGCGUUAGGCGGAAUCACUGGGCUUAAAGCGUGUGUAGGCGGACUUGUAAGUACCUUGUGAAAUCCCACGGCUCAACCGUGGAACUGCUUGGUAUACUGCUUGUCUUGAGCCACUUAGGGGCUACCGGAACAAAUGGUGGAGCGGUGAAAUGCGUAGAUAUCAGGAAGAACACCAAUGGCGAAGGCAGCUCUCUGGGACGGUACUGACGCUGAGACGCGAAAGCGUGGGGAGCGAACAGG